UACGUAGGUGGCAAGCGUUGUCCGGAUUUACUGGGCGUAAAGAGCGCGCAGGCGGUUAUUCAAGUCGAAUGUGAAAGCCCCCGGCUUAACUGGGGAGGGUCAUUCGAUACUGUUUAACUUGAAGGCAGGAGAGGGUAGUGGAAUUCCCGGUGUAGUGGUGAGAUGCGUAGAUAUCUGGAGGAACACCGGUGGCGAAGGCGGCAUCCUGGACCGGCAUUGACGCUGAGGCGCGAAAGCCAGGGGAGCAAACGGG
rnacentral:rRNA from 1 species